AAGUCUUCAUCUGCCCUGUUCUGACACAGAUCAGAGCACUCAAAUACUCUCCUCCUCCCCUUGGUUUGCAGGUGUGUGUGUGUGUGUGUGUGUGUGUGCAAACCUGGCCUCAGCAAAGCACCUGCUGCUUCUGCAAAUGGCUGAUUGCUUGAGUCAUUAACCCUUGUCAUUCCAGUCUCUCACACUGGCCCAUGGUUUGUUCUCUUCAUGCUUUCCCCAGGUCAGAUACUCCUUGCCUGGGCAGAAGCUGGACCUGACCCUGGAGACAUUCUGUUUGCUUGGCUAUCAGGGCAGUGUGAUAGCUUGGCAUCAUGGCUCUCAGCAGCUGCUGACAAAACCAGCUGUGACACAGCAGUUCUGCCCAUUACCAUGCCUUUAGCUAGGCAUCCAGCAUUUCCAGUGAUUUAUCUUCCUGCCUCUGCACGAUGUCCUGCUGUUACAAUGCUGCCUCCUGCUGUCACAGCGAAUGCACAGAAGCUGUUUCACCUCUCUGAGGAUAAUUACAGGAUUUCAGUCUCCAGAGCAACUAAUCAAUGUUCUUCUAGUUUUCUGGUAAACCCAAUUUCCCCUAACAAUAAAAAAACAAAAAAACCCAAAAAAAACGAAACAAAACAAAAAAAUAAUUGAAAAGUAUAAAAAGAACAAUCUCGUUUCAUGCAGUAGUUUCAGAACAUCUAUAUAUUAAGAACAACCAGUCUAAUAAUUCUGGAAGAGCUGAUAUUGAACAUAAUGGAUUGUUAUGGAAAACACUGUGGUUUUCUUAAUUGUUUAUCACUGCACUGUAUGUACACACAUGCUGAUAUAAAAUCCCAGACCAACAAUAUAUCUUCAUUGUUGUAUCUCUCUUAUUCUGAAAAAGUCCUAUCAUUAUCAAUUUUUUAAUGUAAUAUUCAAGUGCAAAUCCAAAUUUUUGUGUUAUAUCCCCUGCUACAAAAUUGGUUCACAUUUUUCCUAUAAAUAAUAUGAAAUUAAGAUAUGUUGAUUUACAUGUUUCCAUAUAAUCACAAGUUUAGUAUCUUCCACUAUGCUUAUUUACAUGAGUAGUACUGUAGUGCUUACGUUCCUGAAUGCUGGUGCUCAGUGUUGGCAGCACCAAAUAUUACCAGUGACU
rnacentral:lncRNA from 1 species